AACGAACGCUGGCGGCAUGCCUAACACAUGCAAGUCGAACGAUACUUUCGGGCAUAGUGGCGCACGGGUGCGUAACGCGUGGGAAUCUGCCCUUGGGUUCGGAAUAACAGUGAGAAAUUGCUGCUAAUACCGGAUGAUGUCUUCGGACCAAAGAUUUAUCGCCCAGGGAUGAGCCCGCGUAGGAUUAGCUAGUUGGUGGGGUAAUGGCCUACCAAGGCGACGAUCCUUAGCUGGUCUGAGAGGAUGAUCAGCCACACUGGGACUGAGACACGGCCCAGACUCCUACGGGAGGCAGCAGUGGGGAAUAUUGGACAAUGGGGGCAAGCCUGAUCCAGCAAUGCCGCGUGAGUGAUGAAGGCCUUAGGGUUGUAAAGCUCUUUUACCCGGGAUGAUAAUGACAGUACCGGGAGAAUAAGCUCCGGCUAACUCCGUG
rnacentral:rRNA from 1 species